rnacentral:rRNA from 1 species
GAUGAACGCUGGCGGCGUGCCUAAUACGUGCAAGUCGAGCGAACAGACGAGGAGCUUGCUCCUCUGACGUUAGCGGCGGACGGGUGAGUAACACGUGGAUAACCUACCUAUAAGACUGGGAUAACUUCGGGAAACCGGAGCUAAUACCGGAUAAUAUAUUGAACCGCAUGGUUCAAUAGUGAAAGACGGUUUUGCUGUCACUUAUAGAUGGAUCCGCGCCGCAUUAGCUAGUUGGUAAGGUAACGGCUUACCAAGGCGACGAUGCGUAGCCGACCUGAGAGGGUGAUCGGCCACACUGGAACUGAGACACGGUCCAGACUCCUACGGGAGGCGGCAGUAGGGAAUCUUCCGCAAUGGGCGAAAGCCUGACGGAGCAACGCCGCGUGAGUGAUGAAGGUCUUCGGAUCGUAAAACUCUGUUAUUAGGGAAGAACAAAUGUGUAAGUAACUAUGCACGUCUUGACGGUACCUAAUCAGAAAGCCACGGCUAACUACGUG